AAGGAUCUAGUUUAAUUCAGAUCGCCGAACUUCAAACUCGGAGGUGGAAUAAUUUGAGUUCCGAUCUUUG
rnacentral:tRNA from 1 species